rnacentral:rRNA from 1 species
GACGAACGCUGGCGGCGUGCUUAACACAUGCAAGUCGAGCGGUAAGGCCUCUUCGGGGGUACACGAGUGGCGAACGGGUGAGUAACACGUGGGUGACCUGCCCUCGGCUCUGGGAUAAGCCCGGGAAACUGGGUCUAAUACCGGAUAGGACUUCUCCCCGCAUGGGGGUUGGUGGAAAGUUUUUUCGGCUGGGGAUGGACGCGCGGCUUAUCAGCUUGUUGGUGGGGUGAUGGCAUACCAAGGCGAUGACGGGUAGCCGGCCUGAGAGGGCGACCGGCCACGCUUGGGCUAAGACACGGCCCAGACUCCUACGGAAGGGAGGAGUGUGUAAUAUUGCGCAAGGGGGGGAAGCCUGACGAAGCGACGCGCCGGAGGAGAUGACGGCGUUCGUGAUGUGAUCUUCGUUCGGCCCCGACGAGUUGGGACGGUAGGGGUAGAAGAAGCACCGGCCAACUACGUG